rnacentral:misc_RNA from 1 species
ACUCCUACAAAAAGGAAGGCCCAUCUA